UGGCGUUGUGACGAGUAUUCUCAUCUGUUUUCUAUCUGUGACACUUCCUGGAUCAUGUGACAGGAUAUAAUCAGGUGUUUCAUCACUGACAGCAGAUGUCGACUGUUCUGCUCACAAUGACCUCUCUGCUCAUUCUGACUGUUUCUCUGUCUUUUACUGCAGGUGCGACCAGGUCUAGUAAAGUCCACCAGACCCCGUGGUUGCUGGUCCAGAGGGGUCUUUCCGCUCAGAUGGACUGUGCCCAUGACCUCGGUGGGACUUACUUUGAGAUGUCCUGGUACCGACUGACACCGGGUCGGACUCUGGCGCUGCUGGUCUACACCGUGCCCUUUAAAAACCAACCGGACUUUGGAGAUUUCAGCCCCGACAAGUUCUCAGCCACAAAGAACGAGGCGGAGACAGGCUCGUUCACGGUGAAAAAUGUUGAAGUGUCGGACAGCGCCGUGUAUUACUGCAUCGUUAGUACGUACAUGAACACGUUGUAACUCCUCCCCUUCAGGUUCCUUCUAUAUUAUCUGUACAUGUGAGCGAAGGCCACAGAUAAAGAUGAAACAUGACCAGAAACAUCAGCUCCAUCCUUCUGCUCAGUCUCUGCUUCUCCUGUUCUGUGUCCACUCAAGUCCAUCAGGAUCCACCAUUGCUCACAGUGAGAGUCAAUGAUUCCUCUGUAAUCAGCUGCAGCCAUUUGGUUAAAACAUUCAACACCAUAUGGUGGUACUACCAACCCCGAGGAGACACCAGCCUGCUGUUCAUGGGAUACACCAUAAUCUCUAACCCCGUCACAAAGGGUCCAUUUCAUCAGCAUUUUAAAAUAACUGGAGACGGAGCCAGCAAAUCUGAACUUCAUGCACUCCAACACUGGCCAGAAGACGAUGGU